rnacentral:rRNA from 1 species
AUUGAACGCUGGCGGCAGGCCUAACACAUGCAAGUCGAAUGGUAACAGGAAACAGCUUGCUGUUUCGCUGACGAGUGGCGGACGGGUGAGUAAUGUCUGGGAAACUGCCUGAUGGAGGGGGAUAACUACUGGAAACGGUAGCUAAUACCGCAUAACGUCGCAAGACCAAAGAGGGGGACCUUCGGGCCUCUUGCCAUCAGAUGUGCCCAGAUGGGAUUAGCUAGUAGGUGGGGUAACGGCUCACCUAGGCGACGAUCCCUAGCUGGUCUGAGAGGAUGACCAGCCACACUGGAACUGAGACACGGUCCAGACUCCUACGGGAGGCAGCAGUAGGGAAUAUUGCGCAAUGGGCGCAAGCCUGAUGCAGCCAUGCCGCGUGUAUGAAGAAGGCCUUCGGGUUGUAAAAUACUGUCAGCAGGGAGGAAGAAAUGUGAGAUAAUACCUUUACUCAUUGACGUUACCCACAGAGAAAGCACCGGCUAACUCCGUG